GGUCUGGCCGGGCGGUCGGCCGUUUCGGCGCGCACUGCUCACGGGCCGGUCCUUUUCUUCUGGGGACGCGCGUGCGCUCCGCGAGGGGCGUGCGUGCGGAGCCAGGACGUUUACCUUGAAAAAAUUAGAGUGUUCAAAACGGGCGCAUGCUCGAAUAGAUUAGCAUGGAAUAAUGGAAUAGGACCUUGGUCUUAUUUUGUUGGUUUCCGAGGCCACGGUA
rnacentral:rRNA from 1 species